rnacentral:rRNA from 1 species
UACAGAGGGUGCAAGCGUUGUUCGGAAUUAUUGGGCGUAAAGCGCGUGUAGGCGGCUUUGCAAGUCGGGUGUGAAAGCCCUCAGCUUAACUGAGGAAGUGCGCCCGAAACUGCAGAGCUUGAGUACCGGAGAGGAUGGCGGAAUUCCCCAAGUAGAGGUGAAAUUCGUAGAUAUCGGGAGGAACACCAGUGGCGAAGGCGGCGAUCUGGGAAGAUACUGACGCUGAGGUGCGAAAGCGUGGGGAGCAAACAGG